rnacentral:misc_RNA from 1 species
CAAGGUGCUGGUGACGGCGCCGGCAGCGCCCGGCACUGGCCAGCACCCAGCCGCCGCCUCCGCCUCUGCCUCAGAGAGCAGCAGCAGCAGCAGCAGCAGCGAGACAGAGUCCUCCGAGGAGACGUCCAGCACAGAGUCAGAGUCUGAGCAGGAGCCUGUGGAGAAGCCGGCAGACAGGGAGGAGGCCAAGUCGUUCCUGAUGCGUGCGCUGGCACCCGUCACCAGCUUCUUCCGCGGUUCCGGCGAGGCUGCCACGGACAAGGACAAGGACAAGGACAAGCAGAAGCUGGCGCGACACAUCCGGCACGUGCAGUCUGGGGAGCGCGCCUGGUGGCUGGACCCCAACGCCGAGGUGCCCGAGGGUGUGACUCGCAUCGCCAGUAGCCACCAGCUGGCCGGUGGUGUGUCCCGCACGCCGAGCGCGGCGCAGGUGGCGGCCGGCGGCGGGCUGGCGCGCGCCCCGAGCUCCAGGAAGCUGGCCGCGCUCCAGAGGGCGCCCAGCUCCCAGCGCGUGGGGCCCGGCUUCCGCAUCCGACCGCAGCAGUCGGGGGAGCUGCCCUGGUGGCUCUGCAAGGACGCAGAGGUGCCCGAGGGCGUCGUCAAGCUCGAGACCAGCUCCAGCGACGAGGACCACAGUAAGGCGGACAGCGGGCGGCGCUCGCCAUACGACAAUGUGCCGGACACCGAACCUGAGCCCGGCGUCGGGCCCGACGUCGAGGCUGCCCAACAGACCGGCGGGACGGCGCGCAGGCGCAGCCGCGGCUUCAUCGGCGCGCACACCAACAUCGACGACAUCCUGGGCAGCGUCGCGUCGCUCGUCGAGCCCGCCAUGGGCGUCGCCAGGCUGCGCCGCCGCCAGAUGGGUCUCGCCGCCGAAGACGACGACGAGGACGCUCAAGACGUGGAGGAGGUGGACGCCGCGUCGGUGCGACUGCACGACAGCUCCGCCCAGAGGCCCACCAUCGUGCGUCGCAGGAGCCAGCCGUCAGAUGGCCCGGCGAGCGCCCGAGACGGCAUGAUCAAGCUCGAUGAUGCGGCGUUGCAGCUGUACAAAGAUGGCGACUACGGGGCAUACCUGGACCUGGACGCAUCCAUCAACGAGCAGCAGGACGAGUUCGAGAACUUCCACAAGAACCACAAGAAUUCCAUCGUCCUUCGGACUCAGCUGUCGGUUCGCGUGCACACCAUAAUCGAAAAACUGCUCAACUCGGAGGGACGUGAACUGCGGCGCGCCCUUUUCUCACUGAAGCAGAUCUUCCAGGAAGACAAAGACCUAGUCCAUGAAUUUGUUCAGAAUGAUGGCCUAGCAUGCCUCAUCAAAGUUGGCUCCGAAGCAGACCAGAAUUACCAAAACUACAUCCUAAGAGCUUUGGGCCAGGUUAUGCUGUAUGUAGAUGGAAUGAACGGUGUUAUGGAACACAAUCAGACAGUUCAGUGGCUGUACACACUGAUUGCCAGCAAGUUCCGUCUGGUCGUGAAGACCGCACUGAAACUUCUGCUUGUAUUUGUGGAGUAUGUGGAAACAAAUUGCCUACUGCUCAUCCGAGCCAUCCAUACUGUUGAUUCUUCGCAUGGGGCUCUUCCCUGGAGUAACAUAAUAAAAUUGCUGAAGGAUUUUGACACAGCUGACACUGAACUGCUCAUAUAUGCAACUACACUAAUAAACAAAACACUGAAUGGUAUUCCUGAUCAAGAUACAUAUUAUGAUCAGGUUGAUGCCCUAGAGGAACAAGGCAUUGAAGCUGUAAUACAGAGGUACAUGUCAAAGCAAGGAACAGACUUGGACCUUCUUCGUCAGUUCCAAAUAUAUGAGGCAGUUCUCCACCAUGAGGAUGGAGAAGAGAAGGGAACACCACUGAAGCAACUGGAUGAUGCCAUUAGGAAGACACUGCGGCAGCGGAAAGCUUUGACAGAGUCAGUACCAGCUACUGGACGGCGUAAGUCACGCCGACAUUCAACCGGCACAUCCCCAUUCUCUCUUCGCCAACAACAACAGCAGUCACCAUCAUCAAAUCAACUGCUGGUCCCUGGUCAAGAUGAAGAAGGUUCUCCCGGAUCCCAUACACCACCUGGUUAUGGAGACACCUCCCAUAAGGACAGAAACGGUGAUGCAGGUGUGACACCAGCUCUGAGGAGGCGUAGAGAGCGUGCCGAGCGCCAGCGGAGCUUCAUCCGCGAGCAGCAGGAGACCACCGCCUCUUUGCGUGCCUCAAUUGUGGCACACGAAAACCAGAACAGUGUCACAUCUGGUCACGAGAUGGAAGGAACAGCACAGACUCCUGACUCACCCAAAAGAGAAUCAGGUUCAGUACGUGAUCUCACACAGAGACUUGCAAAUGCAGGUGUCGGUGGGAACCAAGAUGAAGUGACAGGGCCGCGUCCACCAGACCUUGCUGGUGACAUGACUGGACUUGUAUCUCGUGCUAAGGAAGGCCUGGCCAAGUCAAAAUCAAAGGCUGAAGUUGUGCCAUCUCCUAGACCACCACCAGAGGUAAAAAAGUCAGAAGUUGACUUACAGUGGGAGGAAUUAGUGAAUAAGGUCAAGCGGCCAUUGGCUCUAGCUGACUUGGACUUUACUGACUUGGUCAGUGAUGAUGACACCAACCUCCUUUCUCCGUCACCCAUCUGCAAUGGUGGUCCGCCUCCUCCACCUCCAGCACCAAGAGGUGUUGCUCCACCACCACCACCAGCCCUAAGAGGAGUUGGUCCACCACCACCACCGCCAGCUGCCAUUCCACCAGCUAUGCGGAAUGGUCUUUCGCCACGGACAACCGCGCUUUCAAACUCACCCACAUCUCCACCAAUUAGAAAGACUAAAAAGACAGUCAAAUUAUUCUGGAAGGAAGUUCGUGAUGAUCCUGUUGUUGCAGCUAAGUUGCACAGUGUAGGAGGCACUAUAUGGGAUGAGCUUCCCUCUGUUGCAGUUGAUACGCAGAAGCUGGAGCACCUGUUUGAGUCACGUGCCAAGGACCUCAUUGCCAAGGAGAAACAGCAAGAGAUGAAUAAAAACAAGGAAAUCAUAGUAUUGGAUCAUAAACGCUCAAAUGCAAUAAAUAUAGGAAUGACAAAGCUUCCUCCCCCAAGAUCUAUACGAACUGCCAUUAUGAAGAUGGAUGCCACAAUCAUGAACAGGGAAGGAAUAGAGAAACUUCUUACAAUGCUUCCAACAGAAGAAGAAUGUACUAAGAUCCAAGAGGCACAAAUGGCCAAUCCUGACUUACCACUUGGCAGUGCAGAACAGUUCUUGCUGACACUUGCAUCAAUUUCAGAACUUCCUGCAAGAUUGAAACUCUGGGCCUUUAAACUAGAUUAUGAGAACAGUGAAAAGGAAGUAGCAGAACCUCUCAUGGAUCUUAAGCAAGGAAUGGAGACCCUUAAAUCCAACAAAACAUUCCGUGGUAUUCUUAGUACCUUGCUUUCAAUUGGUAUUUUUCUAAAUGGAAGUGAGGUGAAAGGAUUUCAGAUAGAAUAUUUGGCAAAGGUUCCAGAAGUAAAGGACACAGUGCAUAAACACUCUCUGCUGCACCACCUUUGUCAUAUGGUUAUGGAAAAAUUUCCAGAUUCAACAGACUUGUAUUCAGAGAUUGGUGCUGUUACACGUGCAUCAAAAGUUGAUUUUGAUGAGCUUGCUGCCAACAUUCAGAAAAUGGAGCAAGAGUGCAAAGCCUCUUGGGACCAUCUAAAAGUUAUUGCAAAGCAUGAUGGCUUCACUAUGAAGACAAAGAUGUCCGAUUUUCUGGCAGACUGUGCCGAGAGGAUUAUUGUUUUAGGGAUAGUGCACAGAAGAGUCAUGAACAGGUUUCAUAAAUUUCUCCUAUGGCUGGGGAUUCCGAUGCAUCGAGUGCAGGAUUUACGACCAAAUGAAUUUUGCCGCACUGUUUCUGAGUUUGCUCUUGAGUAUCGCACUACUCGAGAACGUGUACUGCAGCAACUCGAGAAAAAAGCAAAUCAUCGUGAACGCAACAAAACACGUGGGAAGAUGAUUACUGAGGUUGGCAAGUUUCGCACAAAGGAGGAUCGUGCAGAUGCUGAAUUACGGCAGCUGUUGGGUGGAGAUGUUUCUGAUGCAGAAAGUGUUCAUGGCACUUUAACACUGCCAUGGCGUCGACAAAGGAAGGACGCAGGUCGAAAUGCUCUGAGUCCUUCAACUGGCGAUGCAACAGUGAAUGGUCACCUGACAGAUGGAGAUGAUGAAAUUUUGGAAUCUCUUGUGAAAACUGCCACCAAAGCACCAAAUACGAGGACAACACCACGAGAACGCAAACGAACCAGAAAUGCUGAUCGCAAAUCCUAAAUCCAGAACUGCCUAAAAUGAGAGAGCCUGGUAAAAGGUGGUAACUGUCUUUGAAAACGAGUCUUCAUAAAGCGGUCUCGAACACGGGAGAAUAAUGUGAUGGAAGGUUGUAGGGGGUCACCAUGAUCAGAAGGUUUG